ACUCCUGCGGGAGGCAGCAGUGGGGAAUAUUGGACAAUGGGCGCAAGCCUGAUCCAGCCAUGCCGCGUGAGUGAUGAAGGCCCUAGGGUUGUAAAGCUCUUUCACCGGUGAAGAUAAUGACGGUAACCGGAGAAGAAGCCCCGGCUAACUUCGUGCCAGCAGCCGCGGUAAUACGAAGGGGGCUAGCGUUGUUCGGAUUUACUGGGCGUAAAGCGCACGUAGGCGGACUAUUAAGUCAGGGGUGAAAUCCCGGGGCUCAACCCCGGAACUGCCUUUGAUACUGGUAGUCUUGAGUUCGAGAGAGGUGAGUGGAAUUCCGAGUGUAGAGGUGAAAUUCGUAGAUAUUCGGAGGAACACCAGUGGCGAAGGCGGCUCACUGGCUCGAUACUGACGCUGAGGUGCGAAAGCGUGGGGAGCAAACAGGAUUAGAAACCCCGGUAGCCCAUGAU
rnacentral:rRNA from 1 species